rnacentral:rRNA from 1 species
AAAAUAUGAAACUACUUUUUAUGAUUGAUCAAAUGAUAUAAAUUUCAUAUUAUGAAUAUUGACAUAUUUUUUCUAAAAAGUUGGUCAAACAUGCACUCGUUUGACUUUUCAAAAAAUAAAUACACCUUAUAUAAAGGAGCAGAGGGUGUAUAAGGUAGAAGAUGGAGUACAAAUCAUAUUCUACCAAAUAUGAAAUAUAGAGAUAUGUCUAUAUAAUCUAGGAGUAUAUGCGUUUGAAUCGUCUCGCAGAAAAGAAAAGAAAAAAGCCUUUGGUCUUCGCGUAUGACGCAGAGCUCGAUCUAUUGCGUGACGGAGAAGGGCACCCGGGGAGACGACGACGGGGCGGCGACGGAGUCAGCCGGUGGCCAACCAAAGACCCAUCGGCUCCCCUAUCCGAACCUUUUUGUUCUCUUCUGUUUCGUUUCUUGCAUAAGAUUCUUUGCCGCGCGGAGACCUGUAACGAGAAUAACGGCCAGCGCGUGCGCGCGCCUGGCUCUGAUGGUUCCAUGUCGCCCCGCUCGGGCAGCUGCGUGUCUCCCGCUGGUGCUGAUACUUUGCCUCCUCUCGUGCGCCGCCGCGAGGCCUGCGCCGGCGCCGGCGCCGGUGCACGGCCGGCACCAUGGCCAAGGGUGGCACUCGUUCAAGCGGCUGCUAGACGCGCAGCGGGGGACCCGUGUGACGGGGCUCGGCGACCUGAAGCGGUACCUGGCCAUGUUCGGCUACAUGCCCAAGCAUGCCGGGCCGGAGCACGGCGGUGACCCGACGGACGCCUUCGACGAGCACCUCGAGGCCGCCGUCAAACGGUAUCAGUCCCGGCUCAGCCUGCCGGUCACCGGCCGGCUCGACGUCGUGACGCUCGACCAGAUGAUGUCCCCGCGCUGCGGCGUCCAGGACGACCACGGCGCGUCCGUCUCGCCAGAGCACGGCGGCGCGGUCAGCCGGUUCACGUUCUUCAAGGGCAAGCCGCGGUGGACGCGGCGGUCGGACCCGGACCCGGUCGUGCUCACGUACGCCGUGUCGCCGACGGCCACCGUCGGCUACCUGCCGGACGACGACGUGAGGGCCGUGUUCCGGCGCGCGUUCGAGCGGUGGGCGCGGGUCAUCCCCGUGGCGUUCGUCGAGACGGACGACUACGACGAGGCCGACAUCAAGGUGGGGUUCUACGGGGGCAGCCACGGCGACGGGGUGCCCUUCGACGGGCCGCUCGGCGUGCUCGGCCACGCCUUCUCCCCCAAGAACGGGCGGCUCCACCUCGACGCCGCCGAGCGGUGGGCGGUGGACUUCGCCGGCGAAACAAAAGCCUCGGCGGCCAUCGACCUCGAGUCCGUGGCGACUCACGAGAUCGGCCACGUCCUCGGGCUCGGACACUCGACUUCGCCGCAGGCCGUCAUGUACCCGAGCAUCAAGCCGCUGGAGAAGAAGGCCGACCUCACCGUCGACGACGUCGAAGGCGUGCAGCUGCUGUACGGGUCCAACCCGGAUUUCAAGCUCAGCUCCCUCUACGACGCGACGGACACCUCCGGCUCGCCGGCGGGGAGCAGUUGGGCUGCUUCCUCUGCUAGGUUAGUUAUUUGUGCGGUCCUGGUCAUACUCGUGACGCACUUGUAGAUAGACAAAGACAUCGUUUUUAUAGGCAAAAGAUCAGAUACAGAAAAAACAAGUGUUGGGUAGUUUGAUUCUAUCUAUUAGAUAGAAGAGAAAGAAGUGUUUCUCUUCUUGCAUAGACAGUCAAAAGACGACAGCAUGAUGUAACUGUACAUAAUAUAUUCACCAAAAAUUUGAAACUCUCUACUGUUUGACUUGAGGAUUAUGAUUAGUAACAGCGACAAACUUUCACUACAGAGAACUGACAUUACAUCAUAUGUUUCUACCGUGACACUUCACUCUGUAGUGGCAAACCGCUUUCAGCUCCAGCUUCUUUUGCCCCAGCGGUCCCCUCUGCGACAGCCUUUGACAUCGCAAACAAUUUCUUGACAGUGUUUGUUAAGCAUGUCCUGUGUUCGCCCAUGGAGGCAUGAAUAAACUCAUGGAAGUGAUCCCUCAGUUGCGUGACAAACGAGGUGCCGGAGUUCUUCUUUCGGCACGAAGUUGAGGUGGGCUUCACAGGAGGAGAUGAAGAUGGCUGGGGGACUUCAGACUUGAUACCGCCAGACAUUGUGGAUGAUACUGCAUAUGUUUGAAAGUGAAGUGAGAAAAAUGGACAAAAGUCUUCAAUUCAAUCCAUCAUGAUGAGCACUAACAGAAAAAUAGUAGCCCCCCUUAAAAAAGAAAAGAAAAAUAGCAGCCUAUUUGAAAAAAAAAAACUAAUUUUACAUUUGAGUUUCACAGAGAAUGUGUACAACAAAAGAAAUCAAUCAUCUUUUUCAAUGUAUAUACUAGUCAAUGGUAAAAAUGAUGAACCCAAAUCCUAAGCAUUAGAAUACUUCCAGCUACUAUAAACAAAAAAAAUGCAUAUAACCUCUAAUAAAAC